UAGGGAAUCUUCCACAAUGGACGCAAGUCUGAUGGAGCAACGCCGCGUGAGUGAAGAAGGUUUUCGGAUCGUAAAGCUCUGUUGUUGGUGAAGAAGGAUAGAGGCAGUAACUGGUCUUUAUUUGACGGUAAUCAACCAGAAAGUCACGGCUAACUACGUGCCAGCAGCCGCGGUAAUACGUAGGUGGCAAGCGUUGUCCGGAUUUAUUGGGCGUAAAGCGAGCGCAGGCGGAAUGAUAAGUCUGAUGUGAAAGCCCACGGCUGAACCGGGGAACUGCAUCGGAAACUGUCAUUCUUGAGUGCGGAAGAGGAAGGUGGAAUUCCAUGUGUAGCGGUGGAAUGCGUAGAUAUAUGGAAGGACACCAGUGGCGAAGGCGGCUCUCUGGUCUGCAACUGACGCUGAGGCUCGAGAGCGUGGGUAGCGAACAGG
rnacentral:rRNA from 1 species